rnacentral:lncRNA from 1 species
GUAACUUUUAAUUAUUUAGUAAAUAUUAAUUAACCCCAGUCCCACUUUUUACAGUGUAGGUUUCAUGUAAAACGUAUGUUGAGAAAACACAAUGAGAUUGCAGAUCUGCAUUAUUAAAGCUGUUUAUUAAAACACACAGAUGAGUAAAUAUAGAGGUGAAGCAAUAUAAAGAUAAUAGUUUGCAGUGGAUAAAAACAAUUAAGAAACUACAUGAUAUGGAUAUUCUUAGUAAGUUUGUAGAUGAAAAAACCUUAAGCAACAUAUAAUAUUCAAUAAGGAAAAGAUAAGAGAGUAUAAAACUUGAGUAAUACAACAACCAAAUCUAUAUCCCUCUAUGGUAACAGAUUUUUAAUCAGAAUGACUGAACCAUAGACAAAUUUUAUUUAACCUCUGGAAAGGAUUUAGUUGGCCUCUCUGCAGAGUCUGGAUGCUCCUCCGGUCUCACUUUUGGGAGAAAUAAUCAAACAUGCAUAUACUAGAAAGGAGAUUAAAAGCAUUCAAAUCAUAAGCUCUGAAGAUUUGGCCCAAAUAUUUAGUUGCCAGCUAAGAAUCCUACUCUAACUAUCACAUCUAAAUUUUAAAGACUACGUUUUUUCCAUUCUUCAGAACUGAACUCCUACCGUAACUACCUAAAAACUGAGCUCUGUCUCACAAAGAAUGUCCUGGAAUAUUGAACAUAUAAA